GAUGAACGCUGGCGGCGUGCCUAAUACAUGCAAGUCGAACGGUUGGUUGCAAGACCGAUAGUGGCGAACGGGUGAGUAACGCGUUGGUGACCUGCCCUUUAGUGGGGGAUACCAGACCGAAAGGUCUGCUAAUACCGCAUGAGAUCUCGAGAGAUUAGAAGCUUGAGAGGAAAGCCGAACGCUUCGCAAGGAGCGAUGGCGCUGAAGGAGGGGCCUGCGUCCCAUCAGCUAGUUGGUAAGGUAACGGCUUACCAAGGCGAUGACGGGUAGGGGACCUGAGAGGGUGGCCCCCCACAAUGGAACUGAAACACGGUCCAUACACCUACGGGUGGCUG
rnacentral:rRNA from 1 species